GGGUGAGUAACGCGUAGGGAUCUACCCCAAAGCGGGGGACAACCCGAGGAAACUCGGGCUAAUACCGCAUAAACUCUAAGGAGCAAAGAGUGCCUCUAUUUAUAAGCACUCACUUUGGGAUGAACCUGCGUCCGAUUAGCUAGUUGGUAGGGUAAAGGCCUACCAAGGCAACGAUCGGUAGCUGGUCUGAGAGGACGAUCAGCCACACUGGGACUGAGACACGGCCCAGACUCCUACGGGAGGCAGCAGUGGGGAAUAUUGGACAAUGGGGGCAACCCUGAUCCAGCAAUGCCGCGUGUGUGAAGAAGGCCUGAGGGUUGUAAAGCACUUUCAAUAGGGAGGAAGGUUUCAUUUUUAAUAGAGAUGAAAAUUGACGUUACCUAUAGAAGAAGCACCGGCUAACUCUGUGCCAGCAGCCGCGGUAAUACAGAGGGUGCAAGCGUUAAUCGGAAUUACUGGGCGUAAAGGGUGCGUAGGUUGAUUUGCAAGUUGGGUGUGAAAGCCCCGGGCUUAACCUGGGAUGGUCAUUCAAAACUGCAAGUCUAGAGUACGGUAGAGGAUAGUGGAAUUUUCGGUGUAGCGGUGAAAUGCGUAGAUAUCGAAAGGAACAUCAAUGGCGAAGGCAGCUAUCUGGGCCGAUACUGACACUGAGGCACGAAAGCGUGGGUAGCAAACAGGAUUAGAUACCCUGGUAGUCCACGCCGU
rnacentral:rRNA from 1 species